ACAAACAAAUCUUACAUAAUGUUGCUUAACUUAACUAAUUUAACGUUACUGAUUUAAGGAACCACUCAGUGAGUCAGUUGUGACCAAAUCCAACACACCCACAAUGUAAAGGAGUGGCCAACUGCAGGUGCAUGCUGGGUGAAGCUAGAGACACUGAAUUAAAGAAAUACCUAAGGUUUUUGUAUAAUGCCCUUGUGUUUAUCUUGGACCAAAGCAGAUAGUAAGACAGCUAGCUAGCUCUGUGACUUCAAUGUAGCAUGUAGCUAGCGUGACUAGCCUAGCUUUUUGAGUGAGCAUCCCUCUGCUUGUUGAUACUACAAUCAGCGAACUAUUGUUAGAAUGUUAGUGGGCUAGCUUUGAUAACAAGGACAAUCUAUGGGCUGGCACAAACACUCUGACCAAACCACCAACGUUACUAAUGCUAGUGUAGGAGAUACGGAUCAGUUAAUGUUGAAAGUGUACAGUCUGAAAUGGGGACUGGCUCACCUUAAACCAUCAGAGCAGCAGCAAAGGAACUUAUGAUACCCUGACACUCAUUCAGUGAAAAGAUGUGAAAGAUCCUGGAGGAGCACCACAGCGAUGCCCAUCCUUGGCUCCGUGCCCGAUGCCAGCAGACCUCACAGGAACCACAAAAACGUUCCUCCGGAUCCAGAGAGUAUCCCGAACUGCAACUCAAACCAGUUGAGCGUUGGUUCUGCGCUCUUUGCCUUUUCUUUGAUGCCCGCUUUUCAGAUUUUUUUCCCCCUGUCAUUGGAGCUGGCAGAUUUUUCCUCCUGUGGAGGAUUUCCUCAUGACUCAGUUCGAUGAGGGCAGCUGAAUGCUGGGUGGGAUGGAGAGGAGAGAGAAACACAGGAGGAGAGAGAGGCUGUAUCUGAAGGCAUGCGUGUGUGGGCUCCAGUCAGUCUCUACCAGUACCCUGGGAAUGCCACUACUCAGCCCAGCCCAGCACAGAGCAUCCAGGUUGUAUCCAGGGAGACCAGGACCAGAGAAAAAAAAUCCACCGGGGACUGCGUUGGAGUAAAGACUUCCACCACUGCACUCCAUGUCAUUGAGGACAUGAAUGUUGACUAAAAAAAAUCUUGUUUUUUUUCUUUUGAAUUUGUCCUCUGGGCCUGUUGUCAUAGAAAUUCAAGACUUCAUGUCAUCAUGUUUUUGCAUCAACUGCCUCUGUGCUGGAACUCGGAAUGCACUCUUUCUGUGAUUCCUCACAUUUGGACACUGCCGAGCUUGUGAUUGUAGAAAGGUGUUUGUGCCAAGACUGUCCCAUUGCACACAAACACAGUGAGUGUGCCCGCCUCCCCCUGAGCCUGAAGGGGCAUCUGUUCCUUCCUUGUUGGACAGUGAUUGUAUAGCAGCAGACGUGUAUAGUAUACACGAGUGUGUGUGUGUGUGUGUGUGUGUGUGU